GUAUUGAAGCCGAGCUGUUUGCGAGAGAAACUGCAGGGUUUGCUUUGAAGGUUAUCAUGGCUGAACAGUUAAGACAGAGGUGGGCCAGUACUGUGGUACAGGCUGAGGACCUCUUCAAGGACAUUUCUACUGAAGUUUAAUUAACUAGUGCCCAGGAUCUAAAAACUCGAUGGAAGAGGCAGACGGUGGCUACAACCAGGUGGGCGAGGGCGAAGACAGUCAGACAGUCAGCAUCGGAUGAUGUGGCAAUGGAGGUUGGAAUGCCGCUGGUGGCCCCUUCAUCUUCUGCAGCUGAGAGUUAUGUCCUGUUUUUGGAAUCUGGCCUAGAUCUAUGCUGAAAAGAGUCUAAGGACCAUGCAGACAGCAGUUCCAUUGAAGUGUCCUAGUGAAUACAAGUACUGUGAAAGUGUACAGCGCAGUCGGCGGCAUGGAAAUCAUUCAUACUUCAAAGAAAGAUAUAACAAGACUUAGACUUGACAAUGUUUACUAGUAAUUACAAUUAUCAUAUGGUAUGUCAGAUGUUGUUGGAUCACUUCCCUUAAGUCAUUGAGUAAUAAGUGUCCAUUGUCACCAGCUGUCAUAUGAGAACUGAUUGUCAAUGCACAUAUAUUAAAGAUGGUAAAAGUCAUACUUAAAAUGAUUACAUAUUAUUGUAUGAGUUCAGAUAGGCUCUUAUCUCUAUGUACAUGCAGUGAUAUUACUAGGUGUCUUGUAUUUCCUGUUUGGAUGGAUAUCAGUCCACAACUCUCUAUCACCAUGCACGUAUCUACAACUCUCUAUCACCAUGCACAUAUCUGCAACUCUCUAUCACCAUGCACGUAUCUACAACUCUCUAUCACCAUGCAUGUAUCUACAACUCUCUAUCACCAUGCAUGUAUCUACAACUCUCUAUCACCAUGCACGUAUCUACAACUCUCUAUCACCAUGCACGUAUCUACAUUUGCAUUUUUAUGCAUUUUGUCUAUGUAGUGUAAGACUAUUGCUUGCCAUGCAAAGAUGUCACCCUAAUCAGUUACUAUUUACUUAUUUAAGGCAAUUUAGGUAUAAAGUUGUCAUAGUAACAGAAACUCUCUGCUGUUACAUAGAAAGAUUGUCUUCACAACUUGUUGUCAAUGAAAUAGCCAUGGGUUAUAUAUUUAGAGUAAAAGGCAGAUGAAAUGGACAUGUAUAUUGUGCUAAUGAGUACAGAUCGUGCAGUAUUACUACAUAUUAUUUUGUAGCAAUUAUCAAGUGUUCAUUUCAUCGUACAUACCUUGAACAAAAGUACAGAUGACACAAGCAUUCCACGGUUUUAAUUUUAAUUAAUGUAGUGUAAGUCCUUGUAAAAUGUAUUGUACCCAUUUGGAAAGUUUGAUUCAUACAACUUAUGAGUGAUUUUCAUUUCCCAUUUAUUAAAACACAAAGUGAGUCACAAAAGUAUAUUUGCAUACUAUUAAUGUAUACACUUACCAUUG